rnacentral:rRNA from 1 species
CCUACGGGGGGCAGCAGUGGGGAAUAUUGCACAAUGGGCGCAAGCCUGAUGCAGCCAUACCGCGUGUGUGAAGAAGGCCUUCGGGUUGUAAAGCACUUUCAGCGGGGAGGAAGGCGGUGAGGUUAAUAACCUCAUCGAUUGACGUUACCCGCAGAAGAAGCACCGGCUAACUCCGUGCCAGCAGCCGCGGUAAUACGGAGGGUGCAAGCGUUAAUCGGAAUUACUGGGCGUAAAGCGCACGCAGGCGGUCUGUCAAGUCGGAUGUGAAAUCCCCGGGCUCAACCUGGGAACUGCAUUCGAAACUGGGAGGCUAGAGUCUUGUAGAGGGGGGUAGAAUUCCAGGUGUAGCGGUGAAAUGCGUAGAGAUCUGGAGGAAUACCGGUGGCGAAGGCGGCCCCCUGGACAAAGACUGACGCUCAGGUGCGAAAGCGUGGGGAGCAAACAGGAUUAGAUACCCUUGUAGUC